UACGAAGGGGGCUAGCGUUGCUCGGAAUGACUGGGCGUAAAGGGCGCGUAGGCGGUUUGGUUAGUUAGGCGUGAAAUUCCUGGGCUCAACCUGGGGGCUGCGCUUAAUACAGCCAGACUAGAGUGUGAAAGAGGGUCGUGGAAAUUCCCAGUGUAGAGGUGAAAUUCGUAGAUAUUGGGAAGAACACCGGUGGCGAAGGCGGCGA
rnacentral:rRNA from 1 species